AAGGACACUCGUCAGAUCCCCCCCUCCCCUGCGCUGUUGUUGUCCUUGAUGUCUGAAGAUAAUUUCUUUUUUCGUUCUUUGCUUUAGUUACGAGGAUCCUGACAAGUGCCUGCUUCUCUAUGGUGAUGAUCAGGGAUGUGUGAACAUUCUGUUUUUGGCUUCUGUCGGUGAACUAUUAAGGUGUGGUGAAUCCUGACACACGAGCUGCAGCGCAGGCACACAGAGAUCCGCGGAGGCUCCCAGACCCAGCAAGCCCUCCACCGACACUCGGCACAGACGCCCUAGAGACACCCCCCAGGACUCCCGCGGGUAAAGGUGCAGACGCUCGUGGAUGCGCCACGGUCCUCCACACCUGCAGAGGCACCUUCACGUUCACCCCGUAGACGCCCGACAGGUAAACUGUUCCAGUUUUCUUAGCUGUCCUUCAUCCAACCUCAUUUCAAGAUAUCUUGUCAUCCUGGCAUCUCUUCUGGACAACGUCCCAAGUGCUCAGAACUGAGUACCACAAGGUGAGUAGAGGAUAAGGAGGCUUGGAUGGAAAGUUCGAGAAAACUCAGUAGUAAAGAGCUUCUUCAGGCAAAGAUGGAUGAAAAGGUGUGUCCAAGACAUGGGGUACCCCGACAGAAGUUCAUUUGGAGAGAAAGUGAGUCCUCACAUAGACUCUCCCUCACCCCUCUACAAUGCGUGACAGUCCAGGGACAUGGGUUUGAGCCCUGGUCCAGGAAGAUCCCACGUGCCACGGAGCAACUAAGCCAGUGCACCACAACUACUGAGCCUGCGCUCUAGAGCCCAUGAGCCACAACUACUGAGCCCACGUGCCACAACCACUGAAGCCCGUGUGCCUAGAGCCCGUGCUCCGCAGCAAGAGAAGCCACUGCAAUGAGAAGUCCGCCCACCACAAUGAAGAGUAGCCCCUGCUUGCCGCAACUAAAGAAAGCCCGUGCGCAGCAACGAAAACCCAAUGCAGCCAAAAAUAAAUAAAUUAAAAAAUAAAAAAAAGAGAGAAUACUAAUAUGCCUAUCUCAUAAGGUUAUGU